rnacentral:ncRNA from 1 species
CCAAAGGCUCUUUUAAGAGCCACCUAAAUUUUCUAAAGAAAGAGCU